CGCUCUCACGUGCAGAUAUUUUGCAUGUGUAAAAAACAUCUGUUUGUUCGACCAAGGUUUGGUUCACGAGCAUACAGACCUUCGAGUCAAGGAAGAACGGGAGAACGGCGAGCGUCGAGGAAGAAGUCCAACGGCGAGCUUCGAGGAAGAAAUCCGAGGAAGAAAUCGAGGAAGACCAUCUCGUUUCAGUUGUGCCUCCCGUAGAAAACCCUACUGCUCUUUGAUCCGCUGUUACUGCAACCCCUGUAAGGUUUUUGGAGACGGAUCUGUUCCCUUCCAAGGUUUGAUAGUAAUUGAGUUUCGAAAUGACAAGGUUAUAUUUGCUUCACAAUACCAAUGCAUGGCAAGAAGCAACAUUGAAGCUGAAUGGUGGGCAGUUAUAGGAGCCAUAGACUUGUCAUGAAAUAGAUGAACCAGCUGCAAUUGGAAUGCCAUUGGGCUGAGAAGAUACUUAAGAUUGUGAAGAACAUGGUUUCUGUUUUAUUUUUCUUGCCAAGUAAAGAUGAAUAACAUUAUUUCUGUUUUUGAUGUAUAUAAAAUCUUACUUGUCAGUAGGAUAGACAAUGAUAUAGCUCAUCAUAUUUUUGCCUUUUUGCUUGUAAUUAUAAGAUGGAUCUAUGUUUUGACA